GGAAUAUUGGACAAUGGGCGCAAGCCUGAUCCAGCCAUGCCGCGUGGAGGAUGAAGGCCUUCGGGUCGUAAACUCCUUUUCUGAAGGAAGAACAUCUUGGGGAGGAAAUGCCCUUGGACUGACGGUACUUAAGGAAUAAGCAACGACUACCUUCGUGCCAGCAGCCGCGGUAAUACGGAGGUUGCAAGCGUUGUUCGGAAUAACUGGGCGUAAAGCGGACGCAGGCGGCCAAGCGAGUCUGAAGUGAAAUCCCGGGGCUCAACCUCGGAAUUGCUUCGGAUACUACUUGGCUUGAGUACGUGAGAGGAGAGUGGAAUUCCUGGUGUAGCGGUGAAAUGCGUAGAUAUCAGGAGGAACACCAAUGGCGAAAGCAACUCUCUGGCACGUCACUGACGCUGAGGUCCGAAGGCGUGGGGAGCG
rnacentral:rRNA from 1 species